rnacentral:tRNA from 1 species
UCAUAUCUUGCAGAAGAGGGUCUGCAAUUUGUUUUGAGAAUAAAUAAGCUAGUUGAAGAGCCAAUUGUUCCUGCACAUUUAGAUGUAAA